UGAACGCUAGCGGCAGGCUUAACACAUGCAAGUCGAGGGGCAGCGCGAGUAUCAAUACUUGGCGGCGACCGGCGCAAGGGUGCGUAACGCGUGAGCAACAUGCCCGUAUCAGGGGGAUAAUCCAGGGAAACUUGGUCUAAUACCCCAUAGUAAUCUUAGGAGGCAUCUUUUAAGAUUUAAAGCUUUGGUGGAUACGGAUUGGCUCGCGUGACAUUAGCUAGAUGGUAAGGUAACGGCUUACCAUGACUAUGAUGUCUAGGGGUUCUGAGAGGAAGGUCCCCCACACUGGAACUGAGACACGGUCCAGACUCCUACGGGAGGCAGCAGUGAGGAAUAUUGGACAAUGGAUGGAAAUCUGAUCCAGCCAUGCCGCGUGCAGGAUGAAGGUCCUAUGGAUUGUAAACUGCUUUUGUAUGGGAGCAAUAAGGUCUAUGCGUAGGCCGAUGAGAGUACCGUAGGAAUAAGCACCGGCUAACUCCGUGCCAGCAGCCGCGGUAAUACGGAGGGUGCAAGCGUUAUCCGGAUUUAUUGGGUUUAAAGGGUGCGUAGGCGGUCUAUUAAGUCAGCGGUGAAAGUUUUCAGCUUAACUGGAAAAAUGCCGUUGAUACUGAUAGGCUAGAAUAUGGUUGCUGUGGGUGGAAUGUGUGGUGUAGCGGUGAAAUGCUUAGAUAUCACACAGAACACCGACGGCGAAGGCAGGUUACCAACCCAUUACUGACGCUGAGGCACGAAAGCGUGGGGAUCAAACAGGAUUAGAUACCCUGGUAGUCCACGCCGUAAACUAUGAUUACUAGUUGUUGGCGAUACAUUGCCAGUGACUGAGCGAAAGCAUUAAGUAAUCCACCUGGGGAGUACGUUCGCAAGAAUGAAACUCAAAGGAAUUGACGGGGGCCCGCACAAGCGGAGGAGCAUGUGGUUUAAUUCGAUGAUACGCGAGGAACCUUACCUGGGCUUAAAUGUAGAGUGCAUGGUUUAGAGAUAGAAAUUCCCUUCGGGGCUUUCUGCAAGGUGCUGCAUGGUUGUCGUCAGCUCGUGCCGUGAGGUGUUAGGUUAAGUCCUGCAACGAGCGCAACCCUUACCUUUAGUUGCCAGCAUGUAAUGAUGGGGACUCUAAAGGAACUGCCUACGCAAGUAGUGAGGAAGGUGGGGAUGACGUCAAAUCAGCACGGCCCUUAUGUCCAGGGCGACACACGUGCUACAAUGGCCGAUACAACGAGUAGCUACCAGGUGACUGGAUGCGAAUCUUUAAAAUCGGUCUCAGUUCGGAUCGGAGUCUGCAACUCGACUCCGUGAAGUCGGAUUCGCUAGUAAUCGCGCAUCAGCCAUGGCGCGGUGAAUACGUUCCCGGGUCU
rnacentral:rRNA from 1 species